GGCACACAGUGGAGCAGCGGCGGGAAUCACUCGACACUCAGCGAUCGUUCAUGGGUGUGGAUCAAAAAUAAACAGAGCUGAAUCCAGAGCAGCACAUCCAUGAUAUGUGACACCGCAACCACUGAACCUGCCGAGACCAAUGACACUCCUCAUUUUCAGUCUUUUUCAUCUUACCACAAUAUCUCCAGUUUACAGUGAGGAUUCUCCAAUCCACCAGAGAGCAACUUUACCCCCGAGUCUCUUAGUUUAUUCCAUGAGAGGUCCAGUUCUCUCAGGUGUGAGGGGUUUGAUGUCAUA